AGAGUUUGAUCAUGGCUCAGAAUGAACGUUGGCGGCGUGGAUUAGGCAUGCAAGUCGUUCGCCCCGCGAGGGGCGAGGCGCAAGGGUGAGUAAGGCGACGGCAACCAACCCCGGGGCCGGGCAUAGCCGCCUGAAAGGGCGGGUAAUUCCCGGCGGCCCCGCGCGGGGGCAUCCCCGUGCGGGUAAAGGUGUGAUUCCGCCCCGGGACGGGCCGUCGUGGUAUUAGCUAGCUGGCGGGGUAACGGCCCACCAGGGCUGCGAUGCCUACCGGGCGUGCGAGCGUGGCCCGGCACACUGGGACUGAGACACUGCCCAGACUCCUACGGGAGGCUGCAGUCGAGAAUCUUCGGCAAUGGGCGCAAGCCUGACCGAGCGACGCCGCGUGGGGGACGAAGGCCCUCGGGUUGUAAACCCCUGUCGGGGGGGAACAAGGGUGCGCGAAGAGCGUACCUCGAGUGAUCCCCGGAGGAAGCACGGGCUAAGUUCGUGCCAGCAGCCGCGGUAAUAC
rnacentral:rRNA from 1 species